rnacentral:rRNA from 1 species
UACGUAGGGUGCAAGCGUUAAUCGGAAUUACUGGGCGUAAAGGGCGCGUAGGCGGCCCGCUAAGUCGAACGUGAAAUCCCCGAGCUCAACUCGGGAACUGCGUCCGAUACUGGCGGGCUUGAAUCCGGGAGAGGGAUGUGGAAUUCCAGGUGUAGCGGUGAAAUGCGUAGAUAUCUGGAGGAACACCGGUGGCGAAGGCGGCAUCCUGGACCGGUAUUGACGCUGAGGCGCGAAAGCCAGGGGAGCAAACGGG